CAGGGAGACAACAAAAUGUUUAAUAUUAUUAUUUUGUCACCUUAGGUCGAUCGGUAUCUCACAUUCUUAAUUAAUUAAGGAUUUCUUUUCCUAAGUUUUUCUAGGUCACACCCAUUAUUUUCCCUGGGCCAUUAGCUCAGGUGGUUAGAGCGCACCCCUGAUAAGGGUGAGGUCCCUGGUUCAAGUCCAGGAUGGCCCAUAUCUCUAUAUGUUGGGGGUAUAGCUCAGUUGGUAGAGCGCCUGCUUUGCAAGCAGGAUGUCAGCUGUUCGAGUCCGCUUACCUCCACUGAUUACCACCUCUUCCAUAAUUUAUAGAAGGGAAAUGUUUGAGUUGUGAUUAAAUUCUGAACGAAUCUAGCUUCCUAAUAGAUAUUAAGAUGCUGGACUCAUUGAAUUGAUUUCAUUGUUUUCAGAGAACCUUGACAGCUGCAUAGAUUUUUUUAAAGACAAUAAGCAUCUUUAAUGAUGCAGAUUUAUUAUUUUUGCAACUGCAUUAAUAACAAUUCUAUUAAGCUGAUGCUUCAAUUUUUGAAGUUAUU
rnacentral:tRNA from 1 species